GGUCGGAACUCUGGUGGCCUGGUGCCUCUCCCAGCCAGGACCUGGAUGAAUGAACACACACCCUUCCUUUCCCAGGCUCUGCCGUGUCUUCUGUCAAAGGUGAGGUGGGGUGGCGGGUGUUGGCUGGGGUGGCCUGUGGGGGGCCAGGGCUGGUCUCACCUCAUACAGGCAGCACUGCACGAUGAUGAUCAGCGUGAGGACAACCGCGUGCAGGCUGAAGAAGACGUCGUUGCUGUUCACGGGGUUCACUCCGUUGGGGUAUUUGAGGAGAAACUGCUCCUGUUUGGUGGGUGGGAGAAGCUGGGUGGUGAGGGGCAGCCGGGCCACCACGCCAUGUGGGCAGAGAUGUAGGGCAGGCAAGGCCGUACCUUGAUGUAGGGCACCCAGAGGAGGCCGAUGUUGAAUACACUGUAGGCCACGAAGCCCGUCAGGUUCAGAGCCACGAAGUCGAAGCUCAGACCAAUGACACUGCAGGGGGUGGAGGGACAAGACAGGGCAGGGGGUGAAGACUGGCAG
rnacentral:lncRNA from 1 species